UACAGAGGGGGCAAGCGUUGUUCGGAAUUACUGGGCGUAAAGGGCGCGUAGGCGGCCAACUAAGUCAGACGUGAAAUCCCCUGGCUCAACCAGGGAACUGCGUCUGAUACUGGAUGGCUUGAAUCCGGGAGAGGGAUGUGGAAUUCCAGGUGUAGAGGUGAAAUUCGUAGAUAUUCGGAAGAACACCAGUGGCGAAGGCGGCUCACUGGCCCGGUACUGACGCUGAGGUGCGAAAGCGUGGGGAGCAAACAGGG
rnacentral:rRNA from 1 species